rnacentral:lncRNA from 1 species
ACAUGAAGUAUUGUUGAAAAACAUCCCUGGGUGAGACAGGCUCCUUUCUAAUGCUGCCUUGCAGGAGGGUGCUGACAGAAUGGUUGUUGCCUGGUACUUCUGAAGGAAUUAACAUCCGAUUGAACUCCACGUACGCAGAGAGGACAAGGCACCCAUCAAAUCAUGGUGUUGCAUCUCAAUCCUGUGACCAUUCAUAG